GUGGUGUGACUGCGUACCUUUUGUAUAAUGGGUCAGCGACUUAUAUUCUGUAGCAAGGUUAACCGUAUAGGGGAGCCGAAGGGAAACCGAGUCUUAACUGGGCGUUAAGUUGCAGGGUAUAGACCCGAAACCCGGUGAUCUAGCCAUGGGCAGGUUGAAGGUUGGGUAACACUAACUGGAGGACCGAACCGACUAAUGUUGAAAAAUUAGCGGAUGACUUGUGGCUGGGGGUGAAAGGCCAAUCAAACCGGGAGAUAGCUGGUUCUCCCCGAAAGCUAUUUAGGUAGCGCCUCGUGAACUCAUCUUCGGGGGUAGAGCACUGUUUCGGCUAGGGGGCCAUCCCGGCUUACCAACCCGAUGCAAACUACGAAUACCGAAGAAUGUUAUCACGGGAGACACACGGCGGGUGCUAACGUCCGUCGUGAAGAGGGAAACAACCCAGACCGCCAGCUAAGGUCCCAAAGUCAUGGUUAAGUGGGAAACGAUGUGGGAAGGCACAGACAGCCAGGAUGUUGGCUUAGAAGCAGCCAUCAUUUAAAGAAAGCGUAAUAGCUCACUGGUCGAGUCGGCCUGCGCGGAAGAUGUAACGGGGCUAAACCAUGCACCGAAGCUGCGGCAGCGACGCUUAGGCGUUGUUGGGUAGGGGAGCGUUCUGUAAGCCGUUGAAGGUGUGCUGUGAGGCAUGCUGGAGGUAUCAGAAGUGCGAAUGCUGACAUAAGUAACGAUAAAGCGGGUGAAAAGCCCGCUCGCCGGAAGACCAAGGGUUCCUGUCCAACGUUAAUCGGGGCAGGGUGAGUCGACCCCUAAGGCGAGGCCGAAAGGCGUAGUCGAUGGGAAACAGGUUAAUAUUCCUGUACUUGGUGUUACUGCGAAGGGGGGACGGAGAAGGCUAUGUUAGCCGGGCGACGGUUGUCCCGGUUUAAGCAUGUAGGCGGAGGUUCCAGGUAAAUCCGGUACCUUUUAACGCUGAGGUGUGAUGACGAGGCACUACGGUGCUGAAGUAACAAAUGCCCUGCUUCCAGGAAAAGCCUCUAAGCAUCAGGUAACAUCAAAUCGUACCCCAAACCGACACAGGUGGUCAGGUAGAGAAUACCAAGGCGCUUGAGAGAACUCGGGUGAAGGAACUAGGCAAAAUGGUGCCGUAACUUCGGGAGAAGGCACGCUGAUAUGUAGGUGAAGCCCCUGCGGGUGGAGCUGAAAUCAGUCGAAGAUACCAGCUGGCUGCAACUGUUUAUUAAAAACACAGCACUGUGCAAACACGAAAGUGGACGUAUACGGUGUGACGCCUGCCCGGUGCCGGAAGGUUAAUUGAUGGGGUUAGCGGCAACGCGAAGCUCUUGAUCGAAGCCCCGGUAAACGGCGGCCGUAACUAUAACGGUCCUAAGGUAGCGAAAUUCCUUGUCGGGUAAGUUCCGACCUGCACGAAUGGCGUAAUGAUGGCCAGGCUGUCUCCACCCGAGACUCAGUGAAAUUGAACUCGCUGUGAAGAUGCAGUGUACCCGCGGCAAGACGGAAAGACCCCGUGAACCUUUACUAUAGCUUGACACUGAACACUGGUCCUUGAUGUGUAGGAUAGGUGGGAGGCUUUGAAGCGUGGACGCCAGUCUGCGUGGAGCC
rnacentral:rRNA from 1 species